GUGCUCGGAAAGGUCCUACCAGCAAAGCAUUUACAAGGGGUCCUGGGUUCUUCUGCUCCCACAAGGAAAAUUCCAGAGUCACAUGAGCUGGAUUCCAGGUUAAAAGAAGAACACUCCUUCCCCCCGACAAGAAGACACAGUCGAUGCAAGGUGGGUAAAGCUAGACUGACAUUCAUAGGCUCACGUGGACCCGCAGUGAGGAGGCCCGGUACCUCCUGGAACUUACACUGGCUAGUCUAUGAGUCUCAAACACUAUGGAUGCUGGUCACCUCCCACGUGCUGAUGUCCAAGCAGCUCCAAAACUCAAGAGGUUGUGGGGCUGAAGUGACACAGAUCUUAGCAGGAUGAUGUGGAAGAGUGGGUCACACUUUCAAGAACUCUUCGGAAUGUUUUGUCACCGAAACUUGGACUGUCAGAGUAAAAG
rnacentral:lncRNA from 1 species